AUUUGAAGACCUGCUGUAAUGAAUUCUGUAUUUGUUCAAAUCUUUGAAGAUCUGCGAGGACAAAACAGUUAUUCAAAUCUCUAUCAUGUUAGCAUGCUAUUUAUCAUACUUUCCAAUCGUCGUUGCUGAAUUAUGCGGUCCAGUUGAAAAGAAUAAGCAUUAUUUAUUGAAGACUCAUACGCUGAUAUCCAGUAAACCUCGUUAAUCAUGAUUUGACCAACUUGAGAUUUAUGGUAUUUCAUAAAAGAACUAGGUUUCAAUCAUAUGACCCACACCCCUAACCACCAAACAAAAGGAUGGUUGGAAAAUGUAGUCUUCCCAUGUGUUAAAGAAGAAGAUAUAUUUGGUUCUUCAAACCCAAGAGAAAUUUCAAGCAGAAGACUAUGAAUGUUGCAGACCUUCUUUUCCCUUCUUUUGUCACAGCUGAUAGGGGUAACUAGAGAAAUUGCAAGGAGUUUUAUAUUCACUUUUUUCACUAAAAGGUUUAUUCCCCUAGUCAUUGGACUCUGAUCUAGGAGGGUGGUGUUUGGUGCCUUUGUUGUGUUCCAUGGACUUCCUUGAAAAAUUUGGAGUAGUUUGUGGAAUAUGCGGGAAAAGGAACUUGACCAACAUGAUUUUCCAAAAAAAGUUCAAAAUUCAAAAAAGAGUAUUUGUGAUUGUGCGUAUUACUGGUAUGAAUGCACUUUGCAAUAUUAGUUAUACUAUAAAUUGAAACUGGUAGUUAUAAGUAAUACUAUUACCAUUCUCCAAAUGCUAAUGAACUCAAUUCAAGUGCAGAUUUGUAUGAUAUACUUGUAGGUAUGUCUAUGUUAAAUUCAUUCUGAAAGUCUUGAGGAUUGUUAAGGAGAAAGACACAUGAAAAACUCUUAAACUAGUGACUGAUUAUAGAAUAUAUAAGAAAUAUGAAUGGUUUUUAUUACCUAAUUUAGCAUUUUUUCAAAUAUCUACUAAAAGCACAGCUCUGUGCUAGGAGCACAUAGUCUCUCUUGCUGUUCCUUGUCCUGCUCUGUACUUACCUGUAUUUCCUUACUCAACCUCUUUGAAAGAGCUCUGAGAAACCUGUAAGCUUUCUUGGAAGUCUCUGCUCAGAAACAGAGAGCUCUCUGUUAUAUCUUUAGGGAACAGAAUGGCUGUGAUAGUUGAUGGCUGUACUGGGUGCAAAUACAGCUAUAGAGCUGAGUGAACUGCCAACUGGAAAUAGCUCCUUCCUAAUUCAAAUGAAUUUCUUUAUUUGUUUAAUAUUGCCCUCAACUGUUACUAUUGCUUUGGGAAAAUUCGAUUCUCGUUGGAAAUACAAGGUUAGAAAGGAGCCUAGAAGCAUACAAUGUAAGGAUGGAAAUAUCAAAUAAUCUAUAAUGUUUAUUGUUCAAAUCAUACUUUUAUUUAUUUAUUUAUUUCUUCAGGCUGUUGUAUUCUCAGUCCAUGAGAAGAGCUAAAGAGAAGCAAAUUUUCACUUCAAUGCUUGAGAAUACAUUUUACACAUUAUAUAUAACAUUGGUGGGAUUUAAACUAUUUUGAAUUUCUGUAUUUAUUUACUUUUUUUCUCAUAAUGUUAGAUUCUUAUCAAAAGUUUUCUUGUUGGGAUCCCUGGGUGGCGCAGCGGUUUAGCGCCUGCCUUUGGCCCAAGGCGUGAU